rnacentral:ncRNA from 1 species
GCAGACUCAGGGAGGCCAGAAACCCCCAGUGGAGCACAAGGGCAAAAAGUCACUUGAUCUUGAUUUUCAGUAUGAAUACAGGCUGUGAAAGUG